rnacentral:rRNA from 1 species
AUUGAACGCUGGCGGCAGGCCUAACACAUGCAAGUCGAACGAGUGGCGGACGGGUGAGUAAUGUCUGGGAAACUGCCCGAUGGAGGGGGAUAACUACUGGAAACGGUAGCUAAUACCGCAUACCAUCGGAUGUGCCCAGAUGGGAUUAGCUUGUGGUGGGGGUAACGGCUAACCUAGGCGACGAUCCCUAGCUGGUCUGAGAGGAGGACCAGCAACACUGGAACUGAGACACGGUCCAGACUCCUACGGGAGGCAGCAGUGGGGAAUAUUGCACAAUGGGCGCAAGCCUGAUGCAGCCAUGCCGCGUGUAUGAAGAAGGCCUUCGGGUUGUAAAGUACUUUCAGCGGGGAGGCGUUACCCGCAGAAGAAGCACCGGCUAACUCCGUGCCAGCAGCCGCGGUAAUUC